rnacentral:SRP_RNA from 1 species
GCUGGGUGUGGUGGCUCACACCUGUAAUCCCAGCACUUUGGGAGGCCAAGGCGGGUGGAUCACUUGAGGCCAGGAGUUCAAGACUGGCCUGGCCAACAUGGUGAGAUCCCGUCUCUA